rnacentral:rRNA from 1 species
CGGGUGGAUGAGUGGCGAACGGGUGAGUAACACGUGAGUACCUGCCCCCUUCCUUUGGGAUAACGCCCGGAAACGGGUGCUAAUACUGGAUAUUCACUGGCCUUCGCAUGGGGGUUGGUGGAAAGGUUUGUUCUGGUGGGGGAUGGGCUCGCGGCCUAUCAGCUUGUUGGUGGGGUGAUGGCCUACCAAGGCUUUGACGGGUAGCCGGCCUGAGAGGGUGACCGGUCACAUUGGGACUGAGAUACGGCCCAG